rnacentral:tRNA from 1 species
GCGGGAAUAGAUCAGUUGGUAGAGAAUAACCUUGCCAAGGUUGGGGUCGCGAGUUCGAGUCUCGUUUCCCGCUCCA